UCUUCUUUUCCCCUGUUGUCAUCCCCCUCUCUAGCUCCUUUCUCUUCUUCCUCCUUUGUGCCGCCCAAUAUUCUACUCUCCAUUAUUGCCACCAUCUCCUUGGCCAUUUGGUUGCCAAUUUUUCCACUAUCCACUUUUGAACCUCAUUGUUGUCAUCUCUACUCUCUUCUUUUUCUUCCUCUAUCAUCGCCGUGGUGAGCAACCACCAUUCUUGUCGCUGUCGUCCAUUGUUCCUUCUUCUUUUCCUUUCCCUUGUCACAUUUUAUUGUUGUUGAAAUCUCGUUAUAAGCCUUAGGUCAAAUCUCUUUUUAGCACUCGUUGGUGAGUACUCAUCUUUUCUAUGUUAACUACAGAUCCAUAACGGAAAGUGUAAGUAACUUUUUAGGUAAUUAGAUCUAAGAUAUUUUCUUAUUUUUCUUAUUUUGUGAUAGUUAGGUCUCACCUAUUUAAUUCUAUUUAUAUUUGAUUGGUUCUAAAUCUAGAUCCAAACCCCUUAGAUCAACAAUAACUUUGAUGAACUAUUCGCAACUCCGUUAGAAGCCAAAUAGGGUAAGUGUUAAGUUACGACUUCAUAUCUGAAAUUUUGGUUAAAAUUUCUGCUUUGGUUGAACCCUAUAUGAGUGUUAGGAGGAUGAUUUUUAAUGAUUAAACCUUUUUGGGUACAGAUCUAAGUUAUAGCUAAUUGGAUCUCAAGCAUAAAAGUUGCGGAAAAGUGAUAGAGUUCGAUUUAGUGCAAUCAGGUGUGGGUCUAACCUUUGGGUGUUUAAUUGACUAUAUUUAAUAAUGUUAUGUGCAUGAUAAACCAAAAUACAUGCUGAUUUGUGCGUGGCCGAACGAUCAUGAGUGGAUUAAAAGUUGCUGAUUAAGGUAAGUACUAAAAAGGGGUAGUGGCCAAAUGCUUAACUGAUAUUAAAUGAUAGAGUGAGUGCCAACUAUAAUUACUAUUAAUGUGUUUUCUGAUUUGUAUGACAUGUUACUGUUAAUGAAUGCAUGAUUAAGCAUGCCAUUGAGAUUGUUAAACCAGAACCAUGAUAAGCAUGCCACUGAAAUUGUUAAACUGAAAGCAUGAUAAACAUGCCAUUGAUAUUGUUACUAUUACCGAAUAGCAUGAUAUGUUACAUGAUUGAUAUGCCAUAUUGCAUUUGCAUGGGUUUGGGGAUUGAUUGGGUGAUAGAGGAGUUCUGUGGAUUAUUGACAGUUUAUCUGCAACUUAUUGGCGAAUUAUCCACAAACCAUUGGUAGCUUGAUUGCAAAAUUGUUAUUGGUGAAUUAUUUGCAAACCAAAUUGAUAGUUUAUUUGCCAGAUUGAUAUUGGUGGUUCAACCACACUGAGCUUCGGCUUGUCACAUCCAUUUCUGUAGUAACUACUAUUAAUAAUCCAGUAAGUAAUGUUGGAAAAACAUGUUUGGAAAAUGCAGCGAAAAAUAAGUUUAAGAGAAAAACUAAAUUUUUAAAAAAAAUUUCCAAAACAAGAACUUAGUUGUGAUAUUUAAAGUAAUAAACACUUAAUCAAAAUUGUACCUUUUCGAUUUGUGUAGGAUGAAUGCUUCGACCGAUUAGUCUUCUCCGCUAUCCUCAAGUUCACGUCUGCCGAGUGUGGGCUCGUUUUGAAUAAAAAAAUUCACAAAAUUACUAGUGGGGUAAUUUCACAAUUUCUUUAAACUUUUGGGUCAAUUUAUAUAUAAGAAAAAUAUCUCUAAAAUUCUUUUGAAAUAAUUUCUUCAAAGAAUUUUCUCUCUACAACUUUUUUUUAGAAUUCAUGUGAAAAGUAAUAACCUAAGGCUCUCUUUAUAUAGGGAAAGUUUAAAGAGUUCCAUUAUGAUUAAACUUAAUCACUUUAAUAUUAAAUUAAUAGAAUAUUUAUCUACAAAAUAAUUAUUAAAAUUAAUUUAAUAUUAAGCUAAUCACUUUAAUAGUAAAUUAAUAAAAUAUUAUUAAGAUAAGUAUUAAAUUAAAUUUAAUAUUAAAUCUAUUAAAAUAUUAUUAUUUUUAGAAUAGUUAAUUUAAAAUCAAAUUAUCCGGUAGAGUUCUAGUAUGAGUGUAAUUCCUCCACUGCUCAAACGUCGAAGGACCACUCGCCGGCCACCAGAAUGGCGUCAUUGCAACCGCUGACACCAUAGUGCCCGGUGGUGCAGGUGCGACACCCUCACAGCACCUUGAGCUGGUUCAGCUAUUAUCGAUUCAAUACGGACCAGUGACGGCCGACCAAUCCAAUCCAACCAUCGAUGGGACCGUCGACUUGAUUUCACAUUUCAGGUCCGAUUCGACCAGUUUUUGGGUCUCGGUCUUGAUUUUAGGUUCUCGGGCCCAAUUUUCGAUUUGAAGUCUAAUUUUUAAGUUUAAUUACCCAUUGGGCUAAUUAUUUGACUUGAAAAUUAAUUUUCAAAAAUAUCAUAUUAAUUCUAAUUGAUUUGAUUAAUUUAAUUUUACUUUAUCAAAAUUCAUUUUCUUAAAAAUUACUAAGAUUUUCCAUUUUAAUUUUUCAAUAAAAUUAUUUAAUCAAAUUCUCUAGUUAAACAAUUCUC
rnacentral:lncRNA from 1 species